rnacentral:tRNA from 1 species
GGCGUCGUGGCCAAGUGGCUAAGGCAGGGGCCUGCAAAGCCCUUAUCACCGGUUCGAAUCCGGUCGACGCCU